GAAAUGCGAUAAGUAAUGUGAAUUGCAGAAUUCAGUGAAUCAUCGAAUCUUUGAACGCACCUUGCGCCCUUUGGUAUUCCGAAGGGCAUGCCUGUUUGAGUGUCAUUAAAUUCUCAACCUUGCAAGCUUUUUUGCUAGUGAGGCUUGGAUGUGAGGGUUUUGCUGGCUUCCUUCAGUUGGAUGGUCUGCUCCCUUUAAAUUCAUUAGUGGGAUCCUUUGUGGAUGGUCACUUGGUGUGAUAAUUAUCUACGCCGCCUGACUCUGAAACAAGACUUGUGGGGACCUGCUCAUAACCGUCUUCUUUGGAGACAAUCUAUCUUGACAAUUUGACCUCAAAUCAGGUAGGACUACCCGCUGAACUUAA
rnacentral:misc_RNA from 1 species